GCCCCCGCUCCGUUCCCCCUCAGCCACGGCCUCACUCCACCCCGUUCCAGCCACCGGCGCGCCCUUACCUGCGCGGUGCCGCCGACAUGGCGUGCAGAAAUCGCUGCCUUGACCCACUGCUGUGACAUUUGAUGAUGUGUUAGUUUGUGUGGCGCUCUCCUUCGUGUUCUCAGAGAUACCCAUGCCAGAGGUUUCCCUCCAGAAAUAAAACUCCUCAUCCCUGUGCAGGCAACAGAUGCCGAAUUUCCCUUCAGCCGCUUUUAGGUUUUGCCUGCAGCUUCUGUACAGCUGUUUUGCUUAGUGCCAGCAACACUUGGCCAUCCAAAGGCUGGAUCCUGCCCAGACCCGGGAAGGCAUUUACUCGAGGCGGGGACUCGGCAUUGCCGCGCCACCUUCACCGCUUUGCCUUGCAGUUGCAAAGCACAAUCCUUCGGUCUUGCCUUCUCCACUGCAAAUAAAAGAUUGCCCCAGCACGUGGUGUGCGAGGUCUGGGAAACGA